UUCACUACCUAACACAUUUCGGACAAGCUUCAGCAUAUGGCAUGUAUCCAAAAGCACAUAUACAGAUUUGCUCGUUCAGUUCCACUUAAACCAUCAAUGAAAAAAUAUCCCACAGGUACUUUCCAGCUGUCAUUUAUGCUAACCACCAUAAACACUAAUGCAUUCUUCGCAAUAGGACACUCAUCAUCUUCCGGAGCUCCACAGCCAAGAUCAACAUAGCCUCUAAAUUGUUGACCAUCCCAGGACACGUGUUUUUUGAUGGCCAUUUCAUCCAGCAUAAGGGCGCAUAUCACUUUCUUUUUAUUUUCUUUGGCACGAAGUACUUUGGCUGAUAAUGAUUGAAAUGCUGGAUUGGUAAACCCUGGACCGAGAGAUGUUGAUUCACAGUAUGGAUGAUCGUGCUUCACAGUGGAAAAUGUAUUAGUAUUUAUAUGCUGCUGUUCAAAUGAAGUUGAGGUUGAUGGAGAUGAUUCAUUCAUAAAACGUGUACUUGGUGGAGGUCUUUCUUUAUUUAGCUUUUUCAAAUGAA